rnacentral:rRNA from 1 species
GAUGAACGCUAGCGGGAGGCCUAACACAUGCAAGCCGAGCGGUAGAGUCUCUUCGGAGACUUGAGAGCGGCGCACGGGGGCGGAACACGUGUGCAAACUUCCUUGAUCGGGGGGGUAGACGUUCGAAAGGAGGAGUAAUACCCCAUAAUAUACUGGGGGGCAUCAUGUGGGAUUGAAAACUCCGGUGGUAAGAGAUGAGCACGCGCAAGAUUAGAUAGUUGGUGAGGUAAAGGCCCACCAAGGCAGCGAUCUUUAGGGGGCCUGAGAGGGUGAUCCACCACACUGGUACUGCGACCCGGACCCGACUCCUACGGGACGGAGCAGUGAGGAAUAUUGGACGCUGAGUGAGAGCCUGAUCCAGCCAUCCCGCGUGAAGGACGACGGCCAUAUGGGUUGUAAACUUCUUUUGUAUAGGGACAAACAUAGAUACGUGUAUCUAGCUAACGGUACUAUCAGAAUAAGCACCGGCUAACUUCGUG